UUUAAUAAACUAAACAUAAUAUUUCCUUUGAAGUUUAUCCUCAUAGUGUCAUACCAUUUCCAGAAAAUAUAGCAAAAAGAUCAAAGUCCGAAAUAACAAGUGUAUUUUGAAGAAACACAUGUCGAUAAGCUAUUCUAUAGGACUAAUUCCGUGCUAUUAUAUAGGCUUCAUCAACAGCGAUUUAUGGAAAUAUGUGUAAUAUGUCAAGACGUUAUCACCGAUGAAACUGUCUGUAAACCAUGUGGUCACAAGUUUUGUUAUAGUUGUAUCAUAGAAUGGAAUCUACAAAACAACACAUGUCCACAUUGUAGAACUCAUGUGAUCUCACUUUUAUUUUCUGUCAGUAUAUAUAAUGUGUUAAGACGAACUUUUCGAACUUUAAACAUGGUUUACCGACGUCAAUAUGCCAAUGAAUCUGUAAUUAGUAAUCCGGCCAUCAUAUGUUUUAUUAUAUGCGCUGUUCCGUUUAUCUUAGUAUAUAGUGAUAUGGGCAUCAGAUACAUGUAUUCCCCGAUAUCCAAAGGUUGUCAGUAUACACUGCAAGCAACGAAAAACAUAACAUUUGAGAAAGCAGGAAUGAUGUUCAAUGUAACAUCCGUUUCGAAACAAAUAAAUCAGAGUUUACAAAACGCGGUUGAAUGUUUUGAAAUAUUUUUUCAUGAGGAGUUAAGUGUGUUUUAUUCCAUUUUAAAAUUUAUUCAUGAACUUUACCUUAUGAUGUUACAGAUGGCCAAUUUAAUAACAGAUGGAAUCUAUAAUGAACUUCUGCAACUAUAUGAAUUAUUUUCUCUUAUCGUUGCUGAUAUAUAUCACUGUUUAAAACUGAUAAUAUCUUACAUGGUUUAUUUAGUAGUUGACGUGGUCUAUGGGUUAUGGGAUGUUAUGAAAGUACUUUGGGAAUUUGUGAAAAAUGUAACUCCAGUACUUGGCUGGUUUAUAAUUCAUGCAUGUAUGGUUGGAUUACGCAUGCUGAUUUAUUACAACAUUACCCGUUUUGUAUUAUCCUAGAUUAGAUUCGUACAUUUGUUAUGUAUAUUUUUCAUUAGCAAGACCUUACAACUAUUCACUUUGCAGGGAUGAAGAAGGGUAUAAUUUCGAGGAAGUGGACUCCGUUUAUCCUAAACCAAGAUCCUCUUCUUCUUCAAUAUCGUUUAGGAACUAUAUGACGAACCGCGACUUUAAUUCGUCAAAAAAAUUUAAUGACCAAGGGACUUUCGCAUGAAAAGUCAAAUGCAAUUUCCAUAUAUUCCAUAUAUUUUUUUAACAUAUAUAUCUGUGAUAAAGGCAUAUUACGAUUCACCGACUUCUCUCGUUUUAAUUUGUUUUGUUUUUGCGAAACAUAUUUGAAAAAUUCCAGUUUUAUGCCUUUUGACCACAAAAUGUGAAAUUGAAAAUCCGACUGAAUGAAUGUUUUGAAUACGCGAAUGCGAGAAAGCAAAUCCAGCAAAUACUUAUAUAACAUGUAGGUUUCCAUAAAUCGAUGUUUUGAAUAAUGUUUUAAAUACUGUUAAUUAAGAUUUACCUCUGGAUUAUAUUUUAUUUUUUUAACUUUCAUCCUAUGUCUUCUAUCUAAAUUUACGGGACUGUGAUCGAUUAUAACUACUCGAUUGUCGUUUCUGUUGAGUCCUUCCGUACGUUAUGUCGUUAUGUCGCUCGAAGUUGUAAUCACUUGUAAAAUCCAUAUGUGUCCAUGUUACCAAUGCUUGUCUGUAUCCAUGCUACACACACAGGUUCAUCAUUGCCUCUUAGAAGUUCGGUUUCUAUACAUAAUAUCCAAUUCACACUAGGCGAUUCAUUAUGUAUUUGAACAGACAGAUAACGCAUUUGGUGAGCAACUUCUUGGCUAAUUGUCGUGUUGUUGGUAUCCAAAAUGUCUAACAUAAGUGACUGUAACACUCAUUCAUACAUACACAAAGUAAUUGUUCCUGUUCGUCCAAUACAGUGAGUUCAGUUAACGAAUGAUUUGCUGAUUAUAGAUACAGAAAUGUUGAGGACUCUGGAAUUCGUGAGAUGUGAGUUAUCACGUUAGAUUUGAUAUGACCAAAUGCCUUUAGACCAAUGAAUAAUUUUUUGUCUAACAAGAAUAACUUUGUAUGUGAUUAUGUUGUGAUAUUUGUAGACAUGUCAUUCAAUCUGUAAAUAUAAGUGUAUUUCUUGCCAUUUAAUCAUGUCCAUCAACCAUUUUCGCCUUUUUUGCCGAAGUACACUAUGCUAAAAUCUAUCUAUCUUGUUGAUCUCAGUAGAACUAGAUCGACAUGCAUAUGGACGUGUCAGAUAUGUUAUUUCCUUCACUCGAUAUGCUAUAAAACUGGAAAUCUUUCUUGAUGUUCUCACAAACAAAAAACAACUUACAAUGCUGCUAUAUAUAUAUAUAUAUAUGUGACUCAAGAAAGUUUUUGGAUAACUAAGCGUUGAACUAAGACUAUAAACUAAUAGUGUGCCGAUUAGUGCUGUUAUAACUAAGUUCCGUUGAUGAAAUUAUAUUAUUAAAGAAUACCGAGGAAUAGUAAAUGUUAAAUUGCACUUUCAAUAUCUGUCCCUGAAGUCUUUAACUUAUUCGGAAUCUAUUCGUCCCAUUCAAAACUAAAUUCACAUAUCUCUUGUAUUAAGUAUUUUCGCUCUAACUGUUACCGGAUUAAUUCGUAAAUAUCAUUCGUUAGCGUGUCUGGAUACCUCUUCAAAACGGACACUCGUUCCCGAAGCAAGCAUAAACAAAAAUAUAAAGAUCACAUUAUUGUCAGUCAAUUGAUCUGAAAUAAUGAAUUAUAAAUAAAUAAAAAAAAAAAAGAAAAAUUCGAACUAUAUUUAUUGCAAAAUAGUCUACAAGGACAGCAAUCACUACGAAAGGUGUUCAUAUACAUCUCCCCUUUAUUUAUAUUUUGAAUGAAAUUCUCAUAAUAAUUUAAAAAAUAACUUAGCAUUUUUUUAUGCAUAAAAGCAAAUGUGGGUUAAACGUCAAUAAGACAACAAUACAACUAUAAA